CGGGACGGGUGGGUAAUGUCUGGGAAACGUCUCGAUGGAGGGGGAUAACUACUGGAAACGGUAGCUAAUACCGCAUAACGUCGCAAGACCAAAGAGGGGGACCUUAGGGCCUCUUGCCAUCGGAUGUGCCCAGAUGGGAUUAGCUAGUAGGUGGGGUAACGGCUCACCUAGGCGACGAUCCCUAGCUGGUCUGAGAGGAUGACCAGCCACACUGGAACUGAGACACGGUCCAG
rnacentral:rRNA from 1 species